rnacentral:lncRNA from 1 species
CUUAUUUCUAAGAAGUCAACUGCGAUUCCUUGCUAUGUGGUCUUCCUUGGCAUGUCUGCUUAUUUCAUUAUGUCCACAAGGAGAAUCUCUGGAUACAGUCUUCUUGAAAAACAAAGUCUUAAGAAUGAAGUUGUUGCUGAAGAAAGCGAAAGAGAGGGAGAACAGCCGGAGUCAUGAAAUCAACCUGAAGUUUCCUCCACUCCUGGACUUGCCAUUAUUCACAUUUUUGAUGUCUUUUAUAUUUCAAACUGCCUGAGUCGAGGUUCCUUGGACCUUGAAAUGCAUCAUUUCCUUUAUUUUCUGCUGAAGAUUCCUUGUAAUGAAGAUGAGGGGAGAGAUUGGGGGCCACUGGAGUUUUUCAACAAUAGGGGAAGAUUUUAAAUAAGGGCUCUGGCAUCCCACAUCCAGGCCUGGUACUUCAUUCAUAGUGUGCCAGGAAACACAGGUCAGUUUCCCAGUGCAUGCCUGGACCUCUAGCCUAAGGCUCCAGGGCAAACCAGAGGCGGAGAGCUGAUGUUGAGGGUCUGCUUACUAUGGAGCAGCAUCCACUGCAUCUUUCUUGGUGCCUGGCCACUCACUUACAUCUUCUUCACUCCUGAGCAUCAUGGCAGGGAUUGUUUUAAUUUAAUUCAAGCAGCAUAGCUCAGGGAAAGGGGACAUUUCAAGAUGAUUUAUAAUUUAGUAUAAGCAAAUUUGAGAUAUUUUCUUUAAAUUGUAUCCUCAUACGGAAGACAAUAAACAGAAGGGAGAAAGAGAAGGAAAUAAAGGCUCUUAAAAAGAGAAUGUGUUAGUUUGCCAGGGCUGCCGUAGAAAGUAUCACAGACUGGUGAUUCUGAUGAUUUAGACAACAGAAAUUUGUUUUCUCACAGUUCAAGAGGCUGGAAGUCCAAGAUCAAAGUGCCAGCAGGGCUGGUGUCCCCUGAGGCCUCUCUCCUUGGCUUGCAGGUGGCUGCCCUUGGGCCAUCUCUGCACAUGGCCAUCCCUGUGUGCACACACAACCCCAGUGGCUCUCUAUUAAUCCAAUUUCCUCCUCUUAGGGCACUUGUCAGGUUGCAUUGGAGCCCAUUUGAACGGCCUAAUUUUAACUUAAUCCUCUCUAUGAAGGCCCUAUCUCAAAUACAAUCACAUCCUCAGGUCCUAGGAGUCAGGGCUCCAACACUUUAAUUCUGGGGAGACACAAUUCAGCCUCUAACAGAGAAGGAAGGGGAUGUGGUACCAGUGAAAACUAUCCUUUCCUGGGCACAGGACGACCGCUGAGUUCCAACAGCAUGUGGGAAAUUACAUGUUUCGUAGGUGAGGUGCAGAGGGCCCCUCUAAGGAAGGCCCUGGGCCCUGGUGAGCUCUGCUUUCCUCACUGCCUGCCUUGUUCACAGCACACCCCACCUUCCUGAUUCUCCUGAAGGUCAGGCUGUGGCUCUUCCUGGGCAGUUGCUGGCCCAUGCAACCACAUUCACGACUUGGACCCUUCAACAGAUGUCCUGGGUGGAUGUUCUUGAGCUUGGCAGCCCAGCAUCCACUGGCUGCUUUGAGCAACACUGCCUUCGCUCUCAGCCCUUCCUGCCAGCAGUCAGCCCAUUUUCUCAGAACUACCUGAAUUAUUUUUAACUCAUGAUUUUGAGCCCAGGUGUGGUGGCUCAUGCCUAUAAUCCCAGCACUUUGGGAGGCCAAGGCAGGAGGAUCACUUAAGGCCAGGAGUUUGAGACCAGUGUGAGCAACAUAGCAAGACCCUCAUCUCUAUAAAUAAAUAAAUAAACCCAUGAUUUUUAAAAAUAGCCACCAACAAGGCUUUCUGGAUUUCUGUGCCCAUGGGUUUAUUCUCUGACUGACCUGGCUAAGAUGCUGAACUACUUUAAAAAUGUCAAACGCUGAGGACUCCAAUGGUAAAAGUCAAGCAGGCUUUAUUUCUACAUGCUGGGCAAUGUUGUUUUCCUGAAUGUCUAUCAAAGUAGAUGAGCAAUGCCCAGUUGCAUGUCUCCUUCUCGUUUGAAAAUGUCUGUCUUUUGUGUCAGCUAACAAGCAGGGAUUUCUACCAAGCGUUCUUUCAAGCACAACAGGCCGACCUUGAACUCCGUGAGUUUUAGGAAAACAGUGGGGUGUUUCUUGUUGGCAAACCACAGUAAAUAUUUCCAAAAGCUGUCACCUUCCAUCUCAGUGACACUCCUGGUGCUGUCUCAUGUCAUCUGUAUCAGGCAAAACUGGUUAUUGGUCAUGUAUGAAACCAGUGAAGGAGGAGUACUAUGUUUCUAUGGAUUAUUUUCCUACAUCUGAACAUUUGAUUUUGUUUUAUCCACAUUAUAUUUGCUAUGCUUUAUUAUAUUUGUUAUGCUUUAUUUUCCCUUUCGUAUUUCCAAUAAAGUGUUUACUUCCCAGCAUGGCUGGUUUUUACUCAGUCCGGAAAUCCUGGUCCUAUCAGUCUCCAGUGGUGGAGUAGAGGAGAGAUCAAGAGCAUCAGAGGUCAAGGGAAGGGAAGUCAUUGUGGGCUUCCUCCAGUCUCUGGAUUCUGCCUCCCCGAUCCUGUUUUGGGUCUCUCUGACAUUGUGCCUGUGAGCCACAUAUAGCCCUCAUCCAUAGUCUCCCUUCUUUUUGCCGUGAUGAGAUGUUUGAUAGCUGGUGACCAAUUUCACUAUGAAGCCAGGCUUUCAACAUGAUCACAACUUCAAUAGAAAGAAGCCAGUUGCCAGAAUGUUUCUGUCUGCCUAGCUCCAUAUUAAUACCUCCGGAGGUUUCUGCAUAUAUUCCCAGUGCCUGUGUCUGUCGGAAAGAUAAAACCCUAAUGUAUUCGUU